GAAACUCGGAAGGAACUAUAACGGCGUCGAGCGGCGGACGGGUGAGUAAUGCCUAGGAAAUUGCCCUGAUGUGGGGGAUAACCAUUGGAAACGAUGGCUAAUACCGCAUGAUGCCUACGGGCCAAAGAGGGGGACCUUCGGGCCUCUCGCGUCAGGAUAUGCCUAGGUGGGAUUAGCUAGUUGGUGAGGUAAGGGCUCACCAAGGCGACGAUCCCUAGCUGGUCUGAGAGGAUGAUCAGCCACACUGGAACUGAGACACGGUCCAGACUCCUACGGGAGGCAGCAGUGGGGAAUAUUGCACAAUGGGCGCAAGCCUGAUGCAGCCAUGCCGCGUGUAUGAAGAAGGCCUUCGGGUUGUAAAGUACUUUCAGUCGUGAGGAAGGCGGCGUACGUUAAUAGCGGCGUUGUUUGACGUUAGCGACAGAAGAAGCACCGGCUAACUCCGUGCCAGCAGCCGCGGUAAUACGGAGGGUGCGAGCGUUAAUCGGAAUUACUGGGGCGUAAAGCGCAUGCAGGGUGGUUUGUUAAGUCAGAUGUGAAAGCCCGGGGCUCAACCUCGGAGAUAGCAUUUGAGAUACUGGCAGACUAGAGUACUGUAGACGGCGGGGUACGAAUUUCAGUGUGUAGACGGUGUAAAUGCGUAGAUGAUCAAUGAAGGAAUACUCGGUGGCUGAAGUGCGGCCCCCUGGACAGCAUACUGCAUCACUCAGAUGUACGAAUAUGUCGUGGGGAGCCCUCCUAAACACGGAUCUUUCUUAAGAUCACCCUGGUAGUCCACGCCGUACGAGACGAUGUCCCCCUACUCUGGAGGUUACGUGGCCUUGAGCCGUGGCUUUCAAGGAGUACUAACGCGUUAAGUAGACCGCCUGGGGAGUACGGUCGCAAGAUUAAAACUCAAAUGAAUUGACGGGGGCCCGUCACAAGCGGUGGAGCAUGUGGUUUAAUUCGAUGCAACGCGAAGAACUCUUACCUACUCUUGACAUCCAGAGAACUUUCCAGAGAUGGAUUGGUGCCUUCGGGAACUCUGAGACAGGUGCUGCAUGGCUGUCGUCAGCUCGUGUUGUGAAAUGUUGGGUUAAGUCCCGCAACGAGCGCAACCCUUAUCCUUGUUUGCCAGCGAGUAAUGUCGGGAACUCCAGGGAGACUGCCGGUGAUAAACCGGAGGAAGGUGGGGACGACGUCAAGUCAUCAUGGCCCUUACGAGUAGGGCUACACACGUGCUACAAUGGCGCAUACAGAGGGCGGCCAACUUGCGAAAGUGAGCGAAUCCCAAAAAGUGCGUCGUAGUCCGGAUUGGAGUCUGCAACUCGACUCCAUGAAGUCGGAAUCGCUAGUAAUCGUGGAUCAGAAUGCCACGGUGAAUACGUUCCCGGGCCUUGUACCCACCACCCGUCACACCCACCAGUCGGCAGUAAAUUUGAUCAGUCAGCAGUAACUAGCAACCCUGUU
rnacentral:rRNA from 1 species